rnacentral:lncRNA from 1 species
GGCGCUCUGUAUAUUGUUUGAUGUUGGGGUUUAGAGAGAUUUUAUAUAAAGCCGCCACUCCUCUUCUUCUUUCCUUCAUCAUCCAUCAAUCUCAUACCCUCCUUUUCCUUUCUCUCCUGUUUUCCUUUCCAUUUACCAAACAUUGCAUUGCAUUGCAUUUUCUCUCUCCAAAUUCCAUUCCCACCUUCUUUCUUUCUCUCUCCCUACUUUCUGUGCUGCUUACUUCUCCUUAGUCACAUCUACUGGUGUGAGCAGAGCAAGUUUGGUUGAGUUAUAAAAGGCUUCUUCGUGGGUUACAGAAGUCUCACUGUGUAGAACAAGAAAUACCCAUUUUGUAGAUUAUAACAAGGUAACACCAUUAUUUGUGAAAAACUCACUUCAAUUUUGCUAUAUUUAUGUUUGUAUCUGUAAUUUACAAGUUGGGUUAUGGAAAAAGAUGAAAUCUUUACAGUUUUGGACAUUUUUUCUGAUAUGGGUAUUAAUUAAUUAUCAUCAGCAGGGAAUUUGGAUAAUAAUUAGGCAGCAUCAAAAGGGGUUCUCUUGUUUGGAAAAGAAGAAAAUUAAGAGAAAGAAAGAUGAAGUAUGUUUUGGUGACAGGUGGAGUGGUGAGCGGUUUGGGGAAAGGAGUCACUGCUAGCAGUAUUGGCCUUAUUCUCAAAUCCUGCGGUCUUCGUAUUACUUCCAUUAAAAUUGGUCUCUAUUUUUUCUCUGGCUCUGGUUUCAUCUACUUUUACAGUCUAUUAGUCAUUUGGAAUUUUGAUUUUCUUGGCAUUUGCCUUGUAUGUUCUUCUAAUCCAUUUCCUAGCUAUAGGAGUAGCUUGAAUCGCCUUAUGUUAGCUUUCUCUGUUUUGGGUCUUUUGGGUUUUACUUCCAAUAGAAUAAAAGAUGAAGAAAGGUAUUGCCUUUUUGUGUCUUGAAAUCUAAUUAUUUCCAUUUCUUCUGAAGGAAUUAUUAACAUUUGGCAAAAUAUGGCCUGAUGUUACUCUUAAAAGUUUGUCCAAAAGUAAAGUAAUUUUUCUUCAGUAGACUUUUAAAAAUCAGCUUCAUUUUAAUCAUAUUCUUUAUUUUUGAUUGACAAGGUUGCUAACCAGCUGCUUUUAUUUGAUUUAUUGAUAAAUUUUGUUGUAGAGAACUGAUAGGUAUGGAUUUUUCGAGAAGGGUUCUUUAAAAAGUGCAUAA